AGGGGUAGCUGUUCACUGCGAUGGGUGGAGGCAGAGCAGGAACAGGUGUGGCGGCGAUGGAGGGUGGAGUGCUGGUACCUGCAAAUAGGCACAAAUCUAAUCAAGGCCGACCAGAGCCAGACAUGUCUGCCUCUCAUUACCUGAGGAGGGGGUGAUGGAUGCUAUCGGCGUGGCAAUGAUGCUGCUGGGGUUGAGGGCGGCGAGCUGCUGCAUCUGAACCGCCGCCACCGUGGCAACAGGAGAGAGAGUGAGUCUGUGUGUGUGUUUGUAAUGCUCACAGCCUGUGUGUAGGCAUUGUAUGCUCCGAGGUGCAGGGUCAUGGGACUGAUGACGCCCAGCUGAGAGGCCACCUGCUGCAUCCGUCUGAGUCCCC